GACGAACCGUGCGAACGUUGUUCGGAAUCACUGGGCUUAAAGGGCGCGUAGGCGGCUCGCGAGGUCGGGGGUGAAAUCCCACGGCUUAACCGUGGAAGUGCCUUCGAUACCGGCGGGCUCGAGGAAGGUAGGGGUGCGCGGAACUUCUGGUGGAGCGGUGAAAUGCGUUGAUAUCCACAGGAACUCCGGUGGCGAAAGCGGCGUGCUGGACCUCUUCUGACGCUGAGGCGCGAAAGCUAGGGGAGCAAACAGG
rnacentral:rRNA from 1 species